rnacentral:rRNA from 1 species
AUUUAAAAAGGAAUGAAAAUGAACAAGCCCCAUCCCAUCUGGUCUCGGAAGCUAAGCAGGGUUGGGCCUGGUUAGUACUUGGAUGGGAGACCACCUAGGAAGACCAGGUGCUGUAGGUG